CUCAGGACGAACGCUGGCGGCGUGCCUAAUACAUGCAAGUCGAGCGGACAGAUGGGAGCUUGCUCCCUGAUGUUAGCGGCGGACGGGUGAGUAACACGUGGGUAACCUGCCUGUAAGACUGGGAUAACUCCGGGAAACCGGGGCUAAUACCGGAUGGUUGUYUGAACCGCAUGGUUCAGACAUAAAAGGUGGCUUCGGCUACCACUUACAGAUGGACCCGCGGCGCAUUAGCUAGUUGGUGAGGUAACGGCUCACCAAGGCGACGAUGCGUAGCCGACCUGAGAGGGUGAUCGGCCACACUGGGACUGAGACACGGCCCAGACUCCUACGGGAGGCAGCAGUAGGGAAUCUUCCGCAAUGGACGAAAGUCUGACGGAGCAACGCCGCGUGAGUGAUGAAGGUUUUCGGAUCGUAAAGCUCUGUUGUUAGGGAAGAACAAGUGCCGUUCAAAUAGGGCGGCACCUUGACGGUACCUAACCAGAAAGCCACGGCUAACUACGUGCCAGCAGCCGC
rnacentral:rRNA from 1 species